rnacentral:lncRNA from 1 species
AUGCUCUAUUUAUACCUGCAGAUCACCACAGCAGCCGAAUUUGCUGUGCAGAGGGAGGAGAUCCUCCGAGCAUCAGGCCUCAUCCCGUCACAGAGGGAGGAAAUGCUCCGAGCAUCAGGCCUCAUCCUGUCACAGAGGGAGGGUAUCCUCCAAACAGCCAGUGUCCCUUCACAGAGGAAGGGGAUUCUCCCAGCAGCUAACAUCACUGUGCAGAGGGAGGAGAUCUUCCGAGCAUCAGGCCUCAUCCCUGAAGAGAGGGAGGACAUCCGCCUCACAGCCAGUGUCCCUGCACAGAGGGAGGGGAUUCUUCCAGCAGCUACUGCAGCUACUGUCACUGUGCGAAAGGAGAAGAUCCUCCGAGCAUCAGGCCUCAUUUCUGCACAAAAGGAGUUGAUCCACCUGAUGGCCAGUGUCACUGCGCAGAGGAAGGGAAUCGUCCCAAUGGUCAGCGUCCCUGCGCACAAGGAGGGGAUCGUCCAAAAGGCUAGUGUCCCUGCUGAGAGGUUGGAGAUCCUCCGAGCAUCAGGCCUCAUCCCGCCACAGAGGGAGGGGAAUGUCCGAACAGCCAGUGUCCCAGCACAGAGGGGUGGGAUUCUCUCAGCAGCCAGCAUCACUGAACAGAGGGAGGGAAUUCUUCCAGCAGCUUCUAUCACUGUGCCGAAGAAGAAGAUCCUCAGAGCAUCAGGCCUCAUACCUGCACAAAAGGAGUUGAUCCACCUGAUGGCCAGUGUCACUGCGCAGAGGAAGGGAAUCGUUCCAAUGGUCAGCGUCCCUGCGCACAGGGAGGGGAUCGUCCCAAAGGCCAGUGUCCCUGCUGAGAGGGAGGAGAUCCUCCGAGCAUCAGGCCUCAUCCCGCCACAGAGGGAGGGGAAUGUCCGAACAGCCAGUGUCCCAGCACAGAGGGAUGGGAUUCUCUCAGCAGCCAGCAUCACUGAACAGAGGGAGGAGAUCCUCCGAGCAUCAGGCCUCAUCCCAUCACAGAGGGAGGGUAUCCUCCAAACAGCCAGUGUCCCUGCACAGAGGGAGGAGAUCCUCCGAGCAUCAGGCCUCAUCCCAUCACAGAGGGAGGGUAUUAUCCAAACAGCCAGUGUCCCUGCACAGAGGGAGGGGAUCUUCCGAGCAUCAGGCCUCAUCCCGCCACCAAGGGAGGGUAUCCUCCAAACAGCCAGUGUCCCUGCACAGAGGGAGGGGAUCUUCCGAGCAUCAGGCCUCAUCCCUGAAGAGAGGGAGGAGAUCCUCCUCACAGCCAGUGUCCCUGUGAAGAAUGAAAACAUUCAUCCACAACCACCUUCCAUCAUCCCCAUGUUGGCACCACUGUGGAAAUGGGAUGGUGGAGCGUGUACUCCACCUGUGGAUUUCUAUUCCAAGAGAAGAGAUGUCCGACUUAGAUAUGUUGAGCAUCCUGCUAUGAUGUCCAUCACCAAGCCGGAACACUCCGAUGCCAACCCUCAGUUCCAGACUGGCACCCGGCCGGUGGCUGAGCCCGAGACCCCUGCUGUUCACAAUAACAGUGGAGGCUGGCUCAGCUGGGUCUUUGGGAGUGGAAGAGCUAACAAGAAGGAGGUUCAUCUACCUGAGGACAAAGACAGAUCUGUAAGGAACUGGUUAUUAACACUAUAUUCUAUGUAGAGACAAUUGAGUGGAUUUAAAAAAUAAAAAUAAAUUGUGGCUUGCUUCACAUUGCUAAUCUCUUCUUCCUCAGAUUGUCUGGGAUCCAACUCUGCACAGAUGGGUUAACAAAACUGAGCCCAAGGCUGAAGUACACACUUAAAUUAAAUUCAAUUAAAAACAGUGAACAACCAUUGUAUUUCAACUGUGCUAAUAUUACCAACAAUUUGGAAAAUGUGUUGAUGUGUUUUACAGAACAAGUGUGUACCACCACCUCCACCGAUGGGGACACAUGGAUAUCAGGGGAACACUGGCAGUGUCCCCAAAGGAGUGAAUCCCUACUCUAUGAAAGCAGGUGAAUAUUGCUUUAGAAGACAUGUGGUCUAACCAAGACUGUGUCAGCGAAUCAUAGAUGUCCCUGGUGGUCUCCUCGCUAACACCUUUCCCACUGCCAGCAGGUCUAUGGGGCAGCAGAUACCCCACAAUGCAUUGCAAUGAUGGGACCAACUCAAAGCCUCCAAGACAUGGGGCUGGACUGCUUCCUAGACAGCUCUCUGGCUUGCUCCCUCCUUCACACUUUGACCUCAUGGCACCAAUGGUUGUGCCACCUGACACUCUACACUACUGAGGUAUGACUCUGGAAAAUCCUUCCAAAUUGUAUCCAUUCAUCAUUAACUGUGAUUUGACUUUAACAUAGCAAAUGGCUGAAGUAGCAAGGAUGUUAACUAUUUUUCAUUUUUGUCCAACAGGCCAUUUUCCCAAAUUGGAUUUGCCAUACAUUGAUUUUUUUCAGCAUUAAAAAUGUAUUAAAAUAUGAUCUUUAAAUUAAAUAUCUCCUUUGUGUCCUCAUGUUCACAUGAAUUUGAUGUGUUCUAUCAUCAUUUACAAUUCUUAUUGCUUCUGCAUUUACGUUACUUACUGUACAGACAAAUAAAUAUUAUAUGCAUAUAUUUUAUUUUAGACAUUACAAAAACAUUUUUUCAUGCUUUCUGGAUUUCUUACAUUUACUUACUGUACAGGAAAGUAUAUUUUAUACACAUAUUUAAACAAAACAAAAACAUUUUAUUUAUGUAUUCCGUAGACGGAGCUAGCAUGUUGGAGUGAACGGCUGUGCGUGAGAGGCUCCUGCAACUUUUUUGCGAAAUAAUCUAAUUUAACCUACUUUAUGGCACUUUUUACAACAAACGUUUCUUUCUAAUACAAGAUUGUAACUUUCUAUAUGAAAAUGCCGAGUAAUAAGCGACCAAAGGACAAUAAAUCCACAGCGGAGGCCUACUCCCCACUAAACAACGAGACAGACAUGGCGGGAGGCACAUGCAACAACGUGACACUUACAGAACUUACCCGGGCUUUGGGGGAGCUACGUGUUGCUAUAGCUGAGGAUCUUAAGGCCACUAUUGCUGAACUGGACACCAAAAUCGAGAGCAUCAUUCGAACGGUCGCUUCGCAUGGCCAGAGUAUUGUGGACCUUGAGAAAGCUUCUGAAUUCAACGCUGGUAGGAUCGACGACUUAGAGAAGCUAUGCACGUCAUUGCAGGAUACUGUGCAGAGGCUUUCUGUGAAAGUGGUGGACCUGGAGGGCCGAUCCAGACGUAAUAACCUUCGCGUUGUUGGUCUGGCAGAGGGGGUAGAGGCGGGCUCUCGCCCCACCGACUUCUUCGCCAAGCUAUUGAAGGAUGCAAUGGGAUCGGAUGUUUUGGAUUCGGAUCCCCAGCUGGACCGCGCACAUCGCUCCCUUGUCCCAGUGCCUGGACCGGGCAAACGUCCUCGCCCAGUAAUCAUCUGUUGUCACAGUUUCAAGACCAAGGAUCUUAUCCUGCGUGAAGCUCGAAUGAGGGGCAACCUGUCACAUAAAGGGCAUCCAUUCCGUGUCUAUGAGGAUUAUGCGCCCGAUGUGGCAAAGUAUCGCGCCGACUACAGAGAUGUCAUGACCAAACUCUACAAACUCCAUCUUCGCCCAGCCUUACUCUUCCCUGCAAGACUAAGAAUUACCCCGCCUUCCGGUGAGAAGAUUUGGCUCUCCUCGGUUUUGGACGCAGAGAAGUUUAUCCGGGGAUAUACACCAAUCCCCCGUACAGGUUAGAGUGCCUUGUUAUUGCGUGUUAGGGUCUGCUCAUGGACUCGAAUCCAUACUAUACCAUAUUGGGUGAAAACGUAUUAAACGGGCUCAACAAGGGCUACCGAACAUGUAAGACGCUGAGCAGACCAAUGGAUGGCGGUCAGAGCUCUCAAUGAACGUUACAUUCACUUUCAUCCCGGCUGUACUCAGAGCGAUGCAUAUUUUUUACUUCCAGGUUUGAUCACUGACACCUUCGGACGGAUAUACUUAUAUUCUCCCACUUUUGUUUUGUUUCGUUAUUUAUUUUACAAUCCUUACAUUAUUCUUACUACCAUACCAUUUAUUUAUUGCUUGCAGGGGACUGGGGGGUGAUGGUUGGGAGGGGGCAGACACCUGGUUAGCAGGUUGAUGUUUUGUGCCGUUCUGCCUUUCUCUGGCCGUGGGCCUCUCUCUCCCGACUAGAGUCCCACCAGCCCUCUGUAGUGCUUAUGUCUGUGUAGGUGUGCGUACAUAUAAUUACUAUUUGUACUUUAUUACUAUUUUCUCUUAGCAUUUUAGUAUUAUGUAUGUGUAUAUUUUAAAUCAGUGUAGACUGUUAUUCUGGG